rnacentral:rRNA from 1 species
UGGGGAAUAUUGGACAAUGGGCGAAAGCCUGAUCCAGCCAUGCCGCGUGUGUGAAGAAGGUCUUCGGAUUGUAAAGCACUUUAAGUUGGGAGGAAGGGCAGUAAGCUAAUACCUUGCUGUUUUGACGUUACCGACAGAAUAAGCACCGGCUAACUCUGUGCCAGCAGCCGCGGUAAUACAGAGAGUGCAAGCGUUAAUCGGAAUUACUGGGCGUAAAGCGCGCGUAGGUGGUUUGUUAAGUUGGAUGUGAAAGCCCCGGGCUCAACCUGGGAACUGCAUCCAAAACUGGCAGGCUAGAGUACGGUAGAGGGUGGUGGAAUUUCCUGUGUAGCGGUGAAAUGCGUAGAUAUAGGAAGGAACACCAGUGGCGAAGGCGACCACCUGGACUGAUACUGACACUGAGGUGCGAAAGCGUGGGGAGCAAACA